CGGACUGGGUGGGCCGCGACCGCGGAUGCA
rnacentral:sRNA from 1 species